UACGGAGGGGGCUAGCGUUGUUCGGAAUUAUUGGGCGUAAAGGGUGCGUAGGCGGUUUGACAAGUCUUAUGUGAAAUCUUUGGGCUCAACUCAGAGUCUGCAUGGGAAACUGUCGAGCUUGAGUAUGGGAGAGGUGAGUGGAAUUUCCGGUGUAGCGGUGAAAUGCGUAGAUAUCGGAAGGAACACCUGUGGCGAAAGCGGCUCACUGGACCAUAACUGACGCUGAGGCACGAAAGCUAGGGGAGCGAACAGG
rnacentral:rRNA from 1 species